rnacentral:rRNA from 1 species
CCCUUAGAGUUUGAUCCUGGCUCAGAWUCAACGCSGGCGGCGUGCCUCAGACAUGCAAGUCGAACGAUUAAGACUUCCUUCGGGAAGUGCAUAAAGUGGCGCACGGGUGAGUAACACGUAAGUAAUCUACCCUCGAGUGGGGAAUAACGUUCGGAAACGGACGCUAAUACCGCAUAACGCAGCGGCACCGCAAGGUGACAGUUGUUAAAGGAGUAAUUCGCUUGAGGAGGAGCUUGCGGCAGAUUAGCUUGUUGGUAAGGUAACGGCUUACCAAGGCUACGAUCUGUAUCCGGUCUAAGAGGACGGUCGGACACACUGACACUGAAUAACGGGUCAGACUCCUACGGGAGGCAGCAGUCGGGAAUUUUGGGCAAUGGGCGAAAGCCUGACCCAGCAACGCCGCGUGAAGGAUGAAGUAUUUCGGUAUGUAAACUUCGAAAGAAUGGGAAGAAUAAAUGACGGUACCAUUUAUAAGCUCCGGCUAACUACGUGCCAGCAGCCGCGGUAAUACGUAGGGAGCAAGCGUUGUUCGGAUUUACUGGGCGUAAAGGGCGCGUAGGCGGCGCGGUAAGUCACUUGUGAAAUCUCUGAGCUUAACUCAGAACGGCCAAGUGAUACUGCAGUGCUAGAGUGCAGAAGGGGCAAUCGGAAUUCUUGGUGUAGCGGUGAAAUGCGUAGAUAUCAAGAGGAACACCUGAGGUGAAGACGGGUUGCUGGGCUGACACUGACGCUGAGGCGCGAAAGCCAGGGGAGCAAACGGGAUUAGAUACCCCGGUAGUCCUGGCCCUAAACGAUGAAUACUUGGUGUCUGGAGUUUCAAUACUCCGGGUGCCGUCGCUAACGUUUUAAGUAUUCCGCCUGGGGAGUACGCUCGCAAGAGUGAAACUCAAAUGAAUUGACGGGG